AAAGUAUACAAUAACCUUUCCGUUGGAGGAAGAGAAACCGAAGACCAGGGUAGGUUUCCAAGAUGCUUUCAGUUUCGUCACCAAGAUUAAGGCAAGGUUCUCAAGUGAUGAACAUGCGUAUAAAAGGUUUCUAGACAUCAUGGAGAUGUAUCGAAAGGAAAGAAAGUCCAUCAUUGAUGUCUACGAAGAGGUUACUAUUCUCUUCAAGGGUCAUGAUGAUCUGCUCGUGGAGUUCCUUAAUUUCUUACCUAAUUGUGCUGCAAUUUCUGACAUGCUUCCAAGGCAUUCUGAUAAGGUCGAAAACUGUGAUGAAAAGCUGGUUGUUUU